UACGUAGGUGGCAAGCGUUGUCCGGAUUUACUGGGUGUAAAGGGCGUGCAGCCGGAGAGACAAGUCAGAUGUGAAAUCCACGGGCUCAACUCGUGAACUGCAUUUGAAACUGUUUCCCUUGAGUGUCGGAGAGGUAAUCGGAAUUCCUUGUGUAGCGGUGAAAUGCGUAGAUAUAAGGAAGAACACCAGUGGCAAAGGCGGAUUACUGGACGAUAACUGACGGUGAGGCGCGAAAGCGUGGGGAGCAAACAGG
rnacentral:rRNA from 1 species